CUUAACUCAACUGUUUCCUUUAUAUUGACAGUUACCUAUAUGUCAAUAGGACCAGCUCUCUAUUUUCAAUAACGAGUCAUGGACUCUCAUAAUUCAUAGUUGAGCAGUGAUCAUAGGGCUGUCACCGAGAUCACCUGACGACGUGACAUAGUCAGUACUGAUGUGACAUCCUUGAGACACAUGCGCCAUGUCUUUGUGACCGUCGGGUUUAAAAACAUAAACUGCUAAGUCUGUGAAAACCAGGGUGACUGUGUGGCUGAAAAUCCGGAGAGGGCAUUUUUUCAGGAUGCAAAUCGAAAGCCUCUUGCACAUCGAGCCCACGCAUAACAGGAGCAUAGAUUAAUGUGUUACGUAAUCAGGAUUAUUUCACAGCGCCUGACAUUUUCAAGCAAACAGGCAGUCUGGAAAUUUGACAAGUCUGCACCAGAGGCACCACCGAUAAGAAGUGAGGGGGCUGGAGAAAUCAUCUUGACAGACAACUGAGACAACUGAAGGCGAGAGAAUUUUACAGGCAUGACCAUGGGGUCUUUGAGGGACCAUGCCUCAGGACUACCUGGUAUGAUGACUCCUUGCUGUCCCCAGUCCACCUGGCCGUGCUGCUGCUCCAGUUUCAACUGUUCUGCCUGCGGCUAUGGAACCCUGACCUGUUCACCGGACGUGCUUGUUGCACCCUCGACAACUACUAUGAUUAUUAUUAUUUGACCAUGCUGGUCAUUUAUGAACAUUUUAACAUUUUAACAUUUUGACCAUGUUCUGUUAUAAUAUCCACCCUGCACAGCCAGAAGAGGACUGGCCACCCCUCAUAGCCUGGUUCCUCUCUAGGUUUCUUCCUAGGUUUUUGGCCUUUCUAGGGAGUUUUUCCUAGGGAGUUUUUCCUAGCCACCGUGCUUCUUUCACAUGCUUUGCUUGCUGUUUGGGGUUUUAGGCUGGGUUUCUGUACAGCACUUUGAGAAUAUCAGCUGAUGUACGAAGGGCUAUAUAAAAAUACAUUUGAUUUGAUUUGAUUUGAUAUGCUAUGUAUUAAUUUGUGAAUGCCCAUUAGCCAUUUUGUAUGAUAUGUUACAAAUUACAAUUUGUAUUAUAUGUUAUGAAUUUGCAAAACGUACAAUAUGUUACAAAUUUGCAAAGCAUACAAUAUGUUAAGAAUUUGAUAAACCUAUAAUAUGUUACAAAUUCUAGCUAGGUGGCUAACGUUAGCUAGUUGGCUAACGUUAGCUAGGCUAUGGGUUAGGGGUUAUAGUUAAGGUUAGUGUCACGUCCUGGCCAGUAUAUAAGGUUAAUUGUUUUGUAGUUUGGUCAGGGCGUGGCAGGGGGUAUUUGUUUUAUGUGGUUCGGGGUGGUGUGUUUGUGUAAAGGGUGUUUGAUUUAGUAAUUCCGGGUUUUGGUUUAUGUUUAGUUAAUUCUAUGGUUAGUCUAGGUUGUGUGUUUCUAUGUUUGGUUGAUUGGGGUUGGGACUCUCAGUUGAAGGCAGGUGUUGUCUAUCUGCCUUUGAUUGAGAGUCCCAUAUAUUAGGGUGUGUUUGUAUGUGUGAUUUGUGGGUGAUUAUUCUGUGUAUAGCCUUGUGCCUUACCAGACUGUUUAUUUGUCGAGUGUUCGGUUUUUUCGUUAUUUUGUAUGUUCAUUUUUGAGAGUAAUUAAAAAUCAAGAUGAGCAUUCACGUACCUGCUGCGUUUUGGUCCUCAUUCACCGACAACAACUGUGACAGAAUCACCCACCACCAAAGGACCAAGCAGCAGAGGAAGGAGCAGACGGAGUUCGAGUUGGACUGGCGGGAGAAGUGGACUUGGGAGGAAGUUCUGGACGGGGCCGGACCCUGGCAUCAGGCUGGGGAUUAUCGACGCCCGCAGGGGGAAAUUGAGGCAGCCAAGGCAGAGAGGCGGUGGUACGAGGCCAAGUACGCGCUGAAAGAGAAGCACGAGAGGCACCCCCAAGAAAAUUUUUGGGGGGGGCACACGGGUAGUUUGGCUAGGCGUAAGAAGAGCCGGAAGCCAGCUACUCGUGGUUAUAUGGAGGAGCGUAUGGGGUGGAGAGCGCUAUGUUUCGCUGAGGAGCGCACUAUCUCACCCAUACGCACGCACAGUCCGGUGCGCGUUAUUCCAG
rnacentral:lncRNA from 1 species